GACGAACGCUGGCGGCGUGCUUAACACAUGCAAGUCGAACGAUGAAGCCUUCGGGUGGAUUAGUGGCGAACGGGUGAGUAACACGUGGGCAAUCUGCCCUGUACUUUGGGAUAAGCCUUGGAAACGGGGUCUAAUACCGGAUAUCACUUCUGACCGCAUGGUUGGUUGUUGAAAGUUCUGGCGGUACAGGAUGAGCCCGCGGCCUAUCAGCUUGUUGGUGGGGUAAUGGCCUACCAAGGCGACGACGGGUAGCUGGUCUGAGAGGAUGGCCAGCCACAUUGGGACUGAGAGACGGCCCAGACUCCUACGGGAGGCAGCAGUGGGGAAUCUUGCGCAAUGGCCGAAAGGCUGACGCAGCGACGCCGCGUGUGGGAUGAAG
rnacentral:rRNA from 1 species